rnacentral:rRNA from 1 species
UUGACCUCAAAUCAGGUAGGACUACCCGCUGAACUUAAGCAUAUCAAUAAGCGGAGGAAAAGAAACUAACAAGGAUUCCCCUAGUAACUGCGAGUGAAGCGGGAAAAGCUCAAAUUUAAAAUCUGGUAGUCUUUGGCUGCCCGAGUUGUAAUCUAGAGAAGCAUUAUCUGCGCUGGACUGUGUAUAAGUGUCCUGGAAUAGACCAUCAUAGAGGGUGACAAUCCCGUCUUUGACACAGACUCCCAGUGCUUUGUGAUGUGCUCUCAAAGAGUCGAGUUGUUUGGGAAUGCAGCUCUAAAUGGGUGGUAAGUUCCAUCUAAAGCUAAAUAUUGGCGAGAGACCGAUAGCGAACAAGUACCGUGAGGGAAAGAUGAAAAGAACUUUGUAAAGAGAGUUAAACAGUACGUGAAAUUGCUGAAAGGGAAACGCUUGAAGUCAGUCGCGUUGGCUGGGGAUCAACCAU